UUGCUAUCCCAGAGACUACUAAAGGAUCAGGGAUUGUUCCCGAUGGCCAUCAAAAGAAUGCAGCUUUGGGGCACUUUACAGCACAGAUGUUAAUGAGGAAUUUUAAGUGCAAGCAGAGGGUCUGCCGCUUUUACUGCAAUCAAAAUUCACAAGAAAAUGGAAUCCUUUAUAUGCAAAACAAACAAUGCGGAGGAAAUAAAACAUUCAGGCGAGCUGUCAGGUCCUUUCAAGAAUCAAUACGAGGCUUUUCAUCUGCGUCCCAACCUCUUCCUGGACCAGAGCACCUUUGGGACUACGCAGAGUGAUUGGGCAAAGCCUUCCCCUUCCUAACCAGGCUCGAACAGCCCGCUCCCUGAAGCCAGGAGAGGGAUUAAAGAACGGG